rnacentral:rRNA from 1 species
UAGGGAAUCUUCGGCAAUGGACGGAAGUCUGACCGAGCAACGUCGCGCGAGUGAAGAAGGUUUUUGGAUCGUAAAGCUCUGUUGUUAGAGAAGAACGUUGGUAGGAGUGGAAAAUCUACUAAGUUACGGUAACUAACCAGAAAGGGACGGCUAACUUCGUGCCAGCAGCCGCGGUAAUACGUAGGUUCCGAGCGUUGUCCGGACUUAUUGGGCGUAAAGCGAGCGCAGGCGAUUCUUUAAUACUGAAGUUAAAGGCAGUGGCUUAACCAUUGUACGCUUUGGAAACUGGAGGACUUGAGUGCAGAAGGGGAGAGUGGAAUUCCGUGAGUAGAGAUGAAAUGCGUAGAUAUAUGAAGGAACACCGGUAACGAAAGCGGCUCUCUGGACUGUAACAGACGCUGAGGAUCGAAAGCGUGGGGAGCAAACAGG